rnacentral:lncRNA from 1 species
AUGAAAAAUUUAUAGAACAUAAACAGUAAGAAAAUAUUAUGCACAAUGUCCCACCAUAAUUUCAGUAUAAAUUAUGUGAACAGAUCAACAGAAGUCUGGAGGCGAUGGCAAAAAAACAAAACAAAACAAAACAAAAGACCCCCCAAACCCCACGGAAAUAGCACGGUCCAUUAAGUUGAAUGAGGUGUUGAUAGCCCUGUAAUCAAUCUAAGUAAUCCUUCUCCUCUUAAUUUUUAUGCACCACCUGUCAAUUCUAGAUAUUACCAAUUACACUAAAUUAAAAAAAAAAAAUCCCCAAUUUUGAAAAUUCAGAAAGAAAACUGAAUACACCGAACAAGAGUUUGGACCAAAUUUUUGAGAAAGAUUCAUACACACCAAAUUAACUAGUUCUGUUAAAAGGCAGCUAUAAAAAUACACAUCAUCACAAGCUAUACGGAACUUUAAAAUCCAGUUAAGAUGGAGGGAGCCUGGAAUUUCUUAGUGUAUCUGGAGAGCACUGUAAACCCAAAGGUAGAAGCAUCUUAAGUAGAGAGCAUUUCAGCAUUCUGGCAUGUUCAGAGUUUCUAGUGUAUAGUAUCUCAUUAAUAUACAGAGCAUUUCAGAAGGUGGCUACGGCCAGGAAACCUCAGAGUGGGUUCUGUCGUCACACCUGAUCCCGCAGGCGGGCCAGUCUCUGGGACAGUUCAUCCUGCUCGGCGGAGGCCACGCUCGUGCCCACAGAGCCGGUCUGCCCCUGCGGCAGCUCCAUGUUGAGGUCUAGGCCGGCCUCGUCUGCCAUUUCCUGGAGCAGCAUAUCCACUUGGUUCUGGGGAGUGGUCAGCGUAGUCGUGCUGCUCAUCGUGUCUUCCAUUUGCUGCGUCUGGACGUCCAGCGUCUCAAACUGGUGCUCAAAUUUGUCCAUCAAAGCAGAGAUCUUCUCCAGAUUCAUAGUCUUCAACGUCGCAUCCAUCGACUUAACCACACCGGCCAUCGACUUGGUCACCUUGCCCAUCGUCACCGCGGUCUGGACUCUGGCAGCCACCGCAUCGACCCGCGCACUCAUUCUCAAGAAAUUCACCGCUUGGUUCUUCUGGCGAAUGGCAUUUUCGGCGUGUAUCCUCGCCACUUCCAUGUUGCCCUUCUGAAUGGCCUUUUUAAUCUUGGCCUUUUCGGCCUUUUCCUCCUUGUCGCAUUUUUUGGCACUCCUGCUGAGUUCUUUGGCGGCGAACUUUAGGUUGAACAGGUGUUUCUCCAUGUUGGACAUAGUCGGACGGUUCCUAGGGGUCUGUGGCCAGGGCCAAUAUGAGCGCGGAAGAGGGAGAAAGAGGCAGGUCCGCUCCCGGCCGCCGCUCCUUUGUUUU